UACGAAGGGGGCUAGCGUUGUUCGGAUUUACUGGGCGUAAAGGGCGCGUAGGCGGUCAGCACAAGUCAGUUGUGAAAUCUCCGGGCUUAACUCGGAAAGGUCAACUGAUACUGUGCGACUAGAGUGCAGAAGGGGCAACUGGAAUUCUCGGUGUAGCGGUGAAAUGCGUAGAUAUCGAGAGGAACACCUGCGGCGAAGGCGGGUUGCUGGGCUGACACUGACGCUGAUGCGCGAAAGCCAGGGGAGCGAACGGG
rnacentral:rRNA from 1 species